rnacentral:rRNA from 1 species
ACGGGUGAGUAACACGUGGGUAACCUGCCCUGCAAUGGGGGAUAACCCGCCGAAAGGCGGGCUAAUACCGCAUGACAUUCCGGUGGCUUCGGCCGCCGGAAUCAAAGCUCGUAAGGGCGUUGGAGGAGGGGCCCGCGGCCGAUUAGCUUGUUGGCGAGGUAACGGCUCACCAAGGCUUUGAUCGGUAGCCGGUCUGAGAGGAUGGCCGGCCACACUGGAACUGAGACACGGUCCAGACUCCUACGGGAGGCAGCAGUGGGGAAUCUUGCGCAAUGGGCGAAAGCCUGACGCAGCGACGCCGCGUGGGGGAUGAAGCUUCUCGGAGUGUAAACCCCUUUCGACCCGGACGAAACGCCCGCAAGGGCCUGACGGUACGGGUAUAAGAAGCCCCGGCUAACUACGUGCCAGCAGCCGCGG